rnacentral:lncRNA from 1 species
CAUGAACGUAAUGGAUGCAGAUUAUGUAAAAGUGAUAAAUAUUGUGAGCCACAUGACUAUGAAUACUGCUGUCCUUGUGAGUGGCACCGUACAGAACAUGAUAGGCAACUCAGUGAAGUAGAGAACAAUAUUAAGAAGAAAGCUUGCUGUUGUGAGGGAUUCCCAUUCCAUGAGGUUAUUCAAGAAUUCCUUUUAAACAAGGAUAAAUUGGUGAAGGUUAUCAGGUACCAAAGACCUGAUUUGUUAUUGUUUCAGAGAUUUACUCUUGAAAAAAUGGAGUGGCCCAAUCACUAUGCAUGUGAGAAAUUGCUGGUACUUUUGACCCAUUAUGACAUGAUAGAAAGAAAGCUUGGUAGCAGAAACUCUAAUCAACUACAGCCAAUUCGGUAAUGUAAAGAACUGUAUGGUGAAGGUGGUGUUUUUACUUGAGUAUUUUAUAAUUAAAAUAUUCCUAAUA